ensembl:lncRNA
GCCAUCCUGGCCCUGUGAUCCUGUGGUCUGAGUUAUUCUUUCUUUUCCCCCUUCCCCCUCCAGGGCCCUGUGACGUUUGAGGAUGUGGUCAUCUAUUUCACAGAAGCAGAGUGGGCUCUCCUAACCUGGACGCAACGAGCCCUCUACAAGGAGGUCAUGCAGGAGAACUACCAGAAUGUGAUGUCGCUGGGUGAGGACCCACUCUCUUCUCUCACUGGGGGCGGCUCUUUCUUGGCAUGGAAACCCCUGUGGCAUUGCUCCAUCCCAGGGCAGGGCCUUGGUAUUCCCCCUCCCUUUUGGACUACAACUCCCAGAAUCUACUAGCCAUGAUUCUGUGGUUACAGCGGGCAGAGGUCAUGUUUCCAAGCUUCUAGCGGAGAACCUUGGGCGUUCUAAGCGGAACCUUUGCUUUGGCCCCUCCCACACCCUCCUCCUUUGUGAGAGGCGGAACACUGCUCCCUGGGGGAGGAGCUUCAGCAUUGACUCCUCCCAUCAUGGGCAGAGCUUCUGGUGUCACUCUGGUGAUGUGAGAGGAAGUCAUUGUACAGGGCCAAGGGUAUCCAUGUCCCAUUCUCCACCACCACCACCACCUUUGCGUGCUUCCCGUUCUUUAGACGAGCAGCCCUGACAUUGUGAGCUGUAGCUGUUUUGCCAAAUCCCAGUGGUGGAUGUAUGCAUAUCCCUGGAAGGAGUACUGUACAGUGAUGCCUCGCAAGACGAAUGCCUCGCGGGACGAAAAACCCACAAGAUGAAUGUUUUUUGCUAUCACAAUGGUGCCUCACAAGACGGCUUCUUCUAUGGCCGUGCUCCGCAAGACUUUUUUUGUGAGACCGAUGCCUCGCAAGGCGAAAAAAUUUAAUUCGUCUUGCGGGGUUCCCGUAGGAAUGCAUUGCAAUGCAUUCCUAUGGGAAAUCGUUUUUUGGAAGACAGCACUUCUUGCGGAACAAAUUAUAUUCAUCUUGCGAGGCACCACUGUAUUUGUAAAGCAUGAUCCUUGGAGGCACGUCCCCCAUCUCCCAGGCUCCCACCGCCACGGCAAAGGACACCCAGGAAUCCCAGAGGCAGAGGGCCAAAUUUUGGAGCAAAGAAGAGAUCGGGUUGUUUGUUGACCUCUGGAUCAGCCCAGAGGUGCAAAAUGAACUUCGGAAUAUGUACCACAAUGAGGCGGUCUUUAACUGGCUCUCCACGGAAAUGGGCCUGCGGGGUUACAACCGGUCGGCCCGCCAGUGUCGCGAGAAGAUGAACGCCUUGAAGAAGAAAUAUAAGGAAGUCACCAUCCAGAGUAAGGGCUCCGGGGUCGACCUGAGUGCCAUGCCCUACUAUAAUAAACUAGCCAUGAUCCUGGAGAAAAGAGAUGCCACCCCCAGGUCUGCAGGAGGCAGUAGCGGCCCGGAAAAGGGUCAGUGGCAGAGACAGACGUCACUGACGCUGGCCAGGCAGGCCUCGCCGCUCACUCUUGGGACGUCUGGACAAGCGGCGAGGCCGUCUCUCACCACCACCCCUGUUCUGAAGACGGCACUGACCGGUCCCCAAGGAAAGCCACCCCCUCAGAAGCAGCCGCGCCUUCUCCAGGAGACGUUCAUGCGCUCUCAGGCUGGCGCAGGGUCCCCUACUCCCUCCCACGAGCUCCUUUCCCAGCCUGGCGGGAGCGUGGCGGCCCAGAAUCAUGGACUGGCUUCCUCUAAGCAAGGAGCCCACCAGCGGCCGGCGCUGACUCCCAAAAUCAAGGAAGAAGAACCGCAGGAAGACGACGCCAACUGCAUCUCCAGCGUGCUCCAGAGCGCCCUCCUGCCCGUGGAAGUCCGGGUGGUGGAUGAGAACGGGCUCACCAUCGCGUCGGUCGAGUGCAAGCAAGAGAAACAGGAGGAGGAUGGGCUGGAUCGGGCCACCGAUCUCGGACUCGAUUUUGAGGACAAGCUUAUAAGAAAUAUUGUGGCGGACGGCGACCCUCCGGAGGUAACGUCGAUCCAGGUCGACCCAAACGGGCUUCCAGAGUUGUCGGAAGAACUGUACGGUGGGGCCGAAGGGGCUGAGGACAUGCCCACGGAUUUGCUCCAGUCUUUGGACGAUCGGUUCUCCGGCUACCAAGGCCAAGAAGACAGCAAUCUGGACCGCGAGAAAAUAGAACAAGAGCGCCCGUUAUCUAGGCCUUUGUCCGCAGCUGAAAGUCUCAUACAGGAGCAGGAGCGCAAAGCCCUUGAAAACGCAGACGCCGCCUCGAUCCUCCUGGACAUUGUGGGCUGUAAGGAUCCUAACUCAGGUGCCGAUGGGGGCCUUGGUGGGGUGGACGAGCCACCGCUGAGCCACGUUCUGCCCCCCGGAGACCUGGAGGGAGACGCGCCGUUGACCAGCGCGCAGAGGGCGGCCAGGUUCAGAAACAAGAGGAAAAUAGAGCGCGCGCAGCUGGCGAAGGACCUCAUUAAAGCCACCAAGGAGACCGGGGAGCAAAUCCGCGACGCCCUUUAUGAGCUGGACAGCAAGGAAUCUCAGCGCCGGGUGGACGACCGCCGGGUGGCCGUCUGGUGCGCCAGGCACAUCGCGAAAAGCAUCAGGGACUCCAGCCAAACCAUGGCCUCCGCCAUGCGCGACUCGGACGUGGCCUUCCAGCGCUGCAUGGAGAGCUACACGGCCGCUCUGGAACGACAAACGACUCUGUUGGAGCGCAUUGUGGACACGCUCACGGGGCGGGCGGCGCCUCCGAACGCUCCCGGCGAGGAGACCUUAGGGGCGUCCGUACCCAACAGUCCUCCGCCUGCGCCUUCUCAGAUCCUUUGCGUUCCCCAGGAACCUCCCCUGGCUGAGAAGACAGUCUGAGGAGGAGAAAAAAGAGCCAUCUUAAGGUUGCAGGAUCAGACCAAAGUAGUAGAGCAGGACUUGGAAAAACGGACAUGUGGCCCUCCAGACCGUCUUGGGAUGGCAAUUCCCGCGGCUAUUUUUUUCCUCCUUUUUUUUCUAUUCUUACUGGUGUGUUUUUAAAUUCUUACGCUUUUUAUUCAUUUUACAUUUCACUAGUGUUUUCUCCAGUUUUAUUUUAUUGCAAGCUGCCUUUUGAGUCCCACUUGUCGGAGAGAAAGGCAGGGUAGAAAUGGACUCAAUAAAGUCCUUCCCAUCAGCUGAUGUCGGUUAGGG